rnacentral:rRNA from 1 species
UACGGGGGGGGCAAGCGUUGUUCGGAAUUACUGGGCGUAAAGGGCUCGUAGGCGGCCAACUAAGUCAGACGUGAAAUCCCCGGGCUCAACCUGGGAAUUGCAUUCGAAACUGCGAGGCUAGGGUACGGAAGAGGGAAGCGGAAUUUCUGGUGUAGCGGUGAAAUGCGUAGAUAUCAGAAGGAACAUCAGUGGCGAAAGCGGCUUCCUGGUCCAGUACCGACGUUCAGGCACGAAAGCGUGGGGAGCAAACAGG